GCUCAGGAUGAACGCUGGCGGCGUGCCUAACACAUGCAAGUCGAACGUGAAGCAUUUUACAAUCAUUUCGGUGAGCGUAGGGUGUGGAAAGUGGCGAACGGGUGAGUAACACGUAGGUGACCUGCCUCGUAGAAGGGGAUAACCAGUGGAAACGCUGGCUAAUACCGUAUGCAUCAGCAGUUAUUGGAAGAUUGUUGAUAAAGCUUCGGCGCUACGAGAGGGGCCUGCGACCGAUUAGCUAGUUGGUGAGGUAAAGGCUCACCAAGGCUGAGAUCGGUAGCUGUUCUGAGAGGAAGAUCAGCCACACGGGAACUGAGACACGGUCCCGACUCCUACGGGGGGCAGCAGUGAGGAAUAUUGCACAAUGGGGGGAACCCUGAUGCAGCAACGCCGCGUGAAGGAAGAAGGUCUUUGGAUUGUAAACUUCUUUUAAUGGGGAAGAGUAAGGACGGUACCCAUUGAAUAAGUCACGGCUAACUACGUGCCAGCAGCCGCGGUAACACGUAGGUGGCGAGCGUUAUCCGGAAUUACUGGGCGUAAAGGGCGCGCAGGCGGCCAUUUAAGUUCGACGUGAAAGCUCCUGGCUUAACUGGGAGAGGUCGUUGGAAACUGAGUGGCUUGAGUCAAUGAGAGGGGUGCGGAAUUCCCGGUGUAGUGGUGGAAUGCGUAGAUAUCGGGAGGAACACCAGUGGCGAAAGCGGCACCCUAGCAUUGGACUGACGCUGAAGUGCGAAAGCGUGGGGAGCGAACGGGAUUAGAUACCCCGGUAGUCCACGCUGUAAACGAUGAACACUAGUGUA
rnacentral:rRNA from 1 species